GUGCUUCCUUUGCAUCACAUAUGCUAAAAUUGGAAUGAUACCAAGAUUAGUAUGGCCCUUGUGCAAGAAUAAAAUGCAAAUUCAUAAAACAAUACAUAUUUUU
ensembl:snRNA U6 U6 spliceosomal RNA